UGUGCCCUCAUGGAAACCUGUGGAUGCACAAGGAGCUUGACUCCCACCACAGUAGGAUUACAGAUUUUCUACUGCAAGUCUUUUUUACAACUGAAAAUGAAAGGUUCACUGUUCAUGGAUGGUCACCAGAGAAAGGGCCCUCCAAGUUUUCUGCAUUCGUCCUCCUUCACCCUUCCACCGGCCUGGCCUCAUGAAUCAUCCCGUCUUCACAUUGAACUCCUGAUGCUUCUCUUCCACCAAACUGCCCGACUUCCGCAAUUUUUCUUCAUUCUCACUAACAAUUUGGCACUUCAGCUUGGCUGCUUCAAGGCAGAAGCUCAAAACUCCCACUGCCAGGACCUUCCUUCCUGUGCACCUUGUUUCUUCUGUACCAGAAAAGGAUUUCCCUCUCUUCCUACUGCACUGUUCCCCUUUCUUCCUCAAGCAGUCCUCCUUCUCCUCAUAGCCUGCUUUUCCUCCAUCUAGUUGGGAUCCUCUACUCAAAUGAAAAGUAAUUAAGUUGAAAAUAACUCAUGAGGACUGGAAUCACCCUUUGCAAAACCAGAGCACUGACCAGCCAUUCAAACUCACAUGGCAGCACUCCUCUCAAAGAAAGUAAGAUACGGUAAACAGCCUGGAACCUAAGCCUGUGUGAAAACUGAGGCACUUUCCAUAUGAAAGAUAUAGAAUAUUUCCCUUGUGGUUCCCCAGUGUAACCAA